rnacentral:rRNA from 1 species
UACGUAGGGGGCAAGCGUUGUCCGGAAUCAUUGGGCGUAAAGAGCGUGUAGGCGGCCCGAUAAGUCCGCCGUGAAAGUCCAGGGCUCAACCCUGGAAUGCCGGUGGAAACUGUCGGGCUGGAGUCCGGAAGAGGCGAGUGGAAUUCCUGGUGUAGCGGUGAAAUGCGCAGAUAUCAGGAGGAACACCAAUGGCGAAGGCAGCUCGCUGGGACGGUACUGACGCUGAUACGCGAAAGCGUGGGGAGCAAACAGG